rnacentral:rRNA from 1 species
GGAGCAUGUGGUUAAUUCGACGCAACGCGAGAACCUUACCAGGGUUUGACAUCUCCUGAAGGCAUCAGAGAUGAUGUUGGCGGUCUUCGGACCGACAGGAAGACAGGUGGUGCAUGGUUGUCGUCAGCUCGUGUCGUGAGAUGUUGGGUUAAGUCCCGCAACGAGCGCAACCCUUGUCCUUUGUUGCCAGCAGGUGAAGCUGGGCACUCAAAGGAGACUGCCGGAGACAAUUCGGAGGAAGGUGGGGAUGACGUCAAGUCAUCAUGCCCCUUAUGUCCUGGGCUGCACACGUGCUACAAUGGCCGGUACAAUGGGCUGCGAUGCCGCGAGGCGGAGCGAAUCCCAUAAAACCGGUCCCAGUUCGGAUCGGAGGCUGCAACCCGCCUCCGUGAAGUCGGAGUUGCUAGUAAUCGCGGAUCAGCAUGCCGCGGUGAAUACGUUCCCGGGCCUU